rnacentral:tRNA from 1 species
UCACCGGUAGCUCAGUCAGGGCAGAGCGACGGCGCGCCCCGCGCAAGCGGACAUGAAAGUAGGUCGCGGGUUCGAAUCCCGCCCGGUGAC